CCUAGAUAUUAUCUAAGGUGUAACCUGCCCAAAGAUUUUAAAUUAAAUAAAUAAAAGUUAUGAAAUAAAAUUAAAAGGACGCGGUAACCUUGACCGUGAUAAUGUAGCAUAAUCAUUCGCCAUUUAAUUGAUGGAUAGUAUGAAUGGUUGAACGAAUAUUUCACUGUCUUAAAAAGAAAUAACAAAAAAUUGGAAUAAUAGUAAAGAUACUAUUUAAGAUUGUAAGACGAAAAGACCCUAUAGAGCUUGACUAUAAUCUCUUUAAAUUAAAAGAAAUAUUUUCAAAAACAAAGAGAUUGGUAGUUUAGUUGGGGCGACUAUCUUUUAAAACUAACAAAGAUAAGCAAAGUAAAUAAAAACACUUAUUGUAUAAUUAAUUAAUUUAACAAUUAUAAAAAUAGGCUAUAAUGACCCGUUAUAAUUUAAUAAAUAAAAAUAACGAUCAAUAAAUAAAAGCUACCUUAGGGAUAACAGGAUAAUUUUAUUUUAGAGAUCUUAUCGAAAAUAAAGUUUGUCACCUCUAUGUUGAAUUAAGAUAUCCUGACAAUGCAGAAGUUGUCAAAGGUGGGUCUGUUCGACCCUUAAAA
rnacentral:rRNA from 1 species